rnacentral:rRNA from 1 species
AAGACCUUGCGCUUUUGGAGCGGCCGAUGUCUGAUUAGCUUGUUGGUAAGGUAAAGGCUUACCAAGGCUUCGAUCAGUAGCUGGUCUGAGAGGACGGCCAGCCACACUGGGACUGAGACACGGCCCAGACUCCUACGGGAGGCAGCAGUGGGGAAUUUUGGACAAUGGGGGCAACCCUGAUCCAGCCAUGCCGCGUGAGUGAAGAAGGCCUUCGGGUUGUAAAGCUCUUUCAGCCGGAACGAAACGGUUACGGUUAAUACCCGUGACUACUGACGGUACCGGAAGAAGAAGCACCGGCUAACUACGUGCCAGCAGCCGCGGUAAUACGUAGGGUGCAAGCGUUAAUCGGAAUUACUGGGCGUAAAGCGUGCGCAGGUGGUUUUGUAAGUCAGAUGUGAAAUCCCCGGGCUUAACCUGGGAACU